rnacentral:tRNA from 1 species
CAGAGGGUAUUUUAUAUAAAAUAUUAGUUUUGGGGAUUAAUGAAAUGGAUAUACCUUUCCUCUGA